AUAACCGGGAGAAAUCCCGCCUAAUACAACAUAAUGCCGGGAGGGGACAUCCCCUGCCGGCCAAAGGGGGCGACCCCGGUCACGGAUGGGCAUGCGGCGCAUUAGGUAGUUGGUGGGGCAACGGCCCACCAAGCCGACGAUGCGUAGGGGUUCUGAGAGGAAGGUCCCCCACAUUGGAACUGAGACACGGUCCAAACUCCUACGGGAGGCAGCAGUGAGGAAUAUUGGUCAAUGGCCGGAAGGCUGAACCAGCCAAGUCGCGUGAGGGAAUAAGGCCCUACGGGUCGUAAACCUCUUUUGCCAGGGAGCAAUGCCGUCCACGUGUGGACGGAAGGAGAGUACCUGGAGAAAAAGCAUCGGCUAACUCCGUGCCAGCAGCCGCGGUAAUACGGAGGAUGCGAGCGUUAUCCGGAUUUAUUGGGUUUAAAGGGUGCGUAGGCGGCCUGCCAAGUCAGCGGUAAAAUUGCGGGGCUCAACCCCGUACAGCCGUUGAAACUGCCGGGCUCGAGUGGGCGAGAAGUAUGCGGAAUGCGUGGUGUAGCGGUGAAAUGCAUAGAUAUCACGCAGAACCCCGAUUGCGAAGGCAGCAUACCGGCGCCCUACUGACGCUGAGGCACGAAAGUGCGGGGAUCAAACAGGAUUAGAUACCCUGGUAGUCCGCACAGUAAACGAUGAAUACUAGCUGUCCGGGGGGAUUGACCCCUGGGUG
rnacentral:rRNA from 1 species